GACGUAGGGCGCGAGCGUUGUCCGGAUUUAUUGGGCGUAAAGAGCUCGUAGGCGGUCAGUCGCGUCUGCUGUGAAAACUCGGGGCUUAACUCCGGGCCUGCAGUGGGUACGGGCUGACUAGAGUGCGGUAGGGGAGACUGGAAUUCCCGGUGUAGCGGUGAAAUGCGCAGAUAUCGGGAGGAACACCGGUGGCGAAGGCGGUUCUCUGGGCCUUACCUGACGCUGAGGAGCGAAAGCGUGGGGAGCGAACAGG
rnacentral:rRNA from 1 species